GGUGACUGGUCAUUUUAUUAUGGCCUGGCACAUCUGAGAUCAAGUCACUCAGCUUGUCAACAUGCUCCCAGCAGAAAAACUUCAGUUGAAACCCUUCCUCUGGGCUUUGAAAUCUGAACGGUGUCCAACUCUGACAGAGGAGUGUGAUGAGAACCUCUCUCUGUGAUGUUGCCGUCUGAACAAUGCCCAAGAAACAGAAGGUGGGACCCACUAGACUCACACCUUUCAAUACUGCUUUCCAGUGGAGAACUCUGAAAGCCAGGGACUGAGAUGGGCAGAAUGUGAGGGAACCCACUUCUUUGGCCUAGGCUACUCCACACAGUCUUGGAACAAGGAACUGCUGUCCAUGGUCCUGUGUAAAUGUGAAGAAGCAAUCAGUGCACUGGACCAUCACUAUUGGGAUGUGGAUUAAAUUCGUCCCUGGAAGACAUACUUGAAAUGCAUUCUUCGGGGCAUCAGCCUUUUCCUGGUGCAUUAGAUCCCUGCUUGGAGCCCUAGUGUGAAAUGUGUGGGUGAGUCUCAAUCGAUUUCCUUGUGGUUGUACCUCCUUCCU